GGAAGAUCUUUUCUUCCAAACCAUUAGUCGUCGACAGUAAUAUAAUAUCUUCUCCUCCUCCUCCUACUCCGACGUAUCCCAAGUCUACUCCGUCUACACCUGCAGGUACACCGAGAGAUAAAACCAACGUAUGGAGAAGUGUGUUCAAUCCAGGAAGCAACAGCGCUACUAAAACUAUAGGGUCUGAUAUCUUCGAUAAACCUCAACCCAACUCACCUUCUGUCUAUGACUGGCUCUACAGUGGAGAAACAAAGAGCAUUCAUCGUUGACUGGAGUCUGCAGAUUAUAUUUUAUCUCAUCGGAAGGUUUAUCUACU
rnacentral:lncRNA from 1 species